ACAUGCCUACAACAUAGCGUUAAUGCAUCGGAUCCCAUUAUAAAUCCACAGCUAAGCACGCUCGAUCUAGAGUAGUACUGGGAUGGUUGACCACUCAAGAAGUACUAGUAUUUUACAUGCC
rnacentral:rRNA from 1 species